GCGCUGUGCAGAAAGAUUUUUUAAAAAGCCUCGUGGGGCAUAGCACCAUCGCUAAAUGCCUGGUACAUUUAAGAAGCCUGACUGCGGGAGAGGCCCUCUACAAAUGCUGUUACCUGGGAUCUGAGAACUAAUGCCAUUCUCCAUUUCAAGAUGCCUUUGCCGUUUUGACAGAUGCAAACUGACCCCUCUCGAGGCCACGACAGAAGGGGAAUCAUGACUGUUUGAAGCCUGGAAGACUGCCCUUAAUUAAGGAAA
rnacentral:lncRNA from 1 species